rnacentral:lncRNA from 1 species
UUUUGGAAUCUCCUCUGGAAUCCUCGCUGUUUGCACCACCUACUGUGAGAUUGCACUACCAGCAAUCUCAUCUUACGCUGCCAAGUGCUCAAUGAAUGAUGGUCUGUAGUGUGCUGUCAGAUCCUCCAGUGUUCUACUCACCACAUUGGAUUUUCUUUUAAUGCUUUUGGAUUGAAACUAAAAAUCCUGAUGAGUUCAAUAGUACCCUAGUUAAGCAGUAAUGCAAGCUGAAGAAAAUUCUUCCACUGUUAGGCUGGGCACGGUGGCUCACACCUAUAAUCCCAGCACUUUGGGAGGCCAAGGCGGGUGGAUCACCUGAGGUUAGGAGUUCGAGACCAGCUUGGCCAACGUGGUGGAACCCCGUCUCUGCUGAAAAUACAAAAAUUAGCCAGGCAUGAUGGCAGGUGCCUGUAAUCCCAGCCACUUGGGGGGCUGAGGUGGGAGAAUCGCUUGAACCCGGGAGGCGGAGAUUGCAGUGAGCAGAGAUCGCGCCAUUGCACACCAGCCUGGGAGACAGAGCGAAACUCCAUCUCAAAACAACAACAACAACAACAACAAAGAAAAUUCUUCCACUGUGUAGAAAAUGCAUCAACAUUAUUCUAAGACUUUCUUCAGGAAAUCCCAGGCAUUUAAAGUCAGCCCUUUAAUACUAUGGUUCUUAUUAAAACCAGAGAUUAAUGUAUAACCAAAACUGAAAGCUUCAUAGGUUACAUUGUGUGAACAUAAAUGAAAUAAAAUUACUGUGAUAGAAAUAUGCUUUAGUUUCUCUCUACAAUUACAAAAACGGAAGUUGAAUGAGGAAUUUAAAAGAUAACAAUACACUUUUAUCUUGUAACAGUGUUAAUCACAGUGAAAUAUACUUUUCAGGAUAACAUUUUCAAAUGGAGCAAAUAUCGUUACAGAUUGAUGGCAUAGCCUUUAUUUGCCUUGUCAACAUUAAGGUAGGAAGACUUCUGAGAUACAAAUGUCAGACUGACAGUAGUGACUCAGAAGCAGAAAUUCAAAAAAUGCACUUGCUGUAAAUUCUGCUACACUGCCCAGGGCACUUCUUGGUCUGUAUGUGUAACAUGUAUUCAGCUAUUGUAAAGUUUCUUUAACAGUCCUGGAAGUACUAUGACAGUAACAAGGAAGAUUGAUAGCAGAUUCCAUGCCUCUUUGUUAAUCACAUUAAGAACUCUGCUUGGUACUCUUUGAUGUUGUGUCUGGAAACAUACAUCCCCACCACACCAUAUUGAAAACUUUCAUCCUAUUACCCAUCUGCUGCCAGCAAAUGAUCAGUUUAAAGGCAAAAAAUGGGUGAUGGGGGUGUGAAAGUCAAAGAUUUGCCAAGCAUACCGUUUUUCUACUACUCAUUCUUCUAAUUACCUUUUGGGAAAUGAGAGAACCUAACCAUAUAACAUUUUGAAAUGUUUCCUUAGGGAAUCUGAAUAAUAUUUUAUGUAGCUUGAGUUACAUGAUAAUGACAAGCAUGUCUUCAAACAUUAGAAUUAAACCCAUGGAUGUGGCAUAGUGCCUGUUGUUUUUCAUCAUAAGAGUUUAUGAUAAAACUGAGUACUGGAGUCUGCAGUUUAUAAAAAGAUGUUUCCUUCUAUUUAGCUGGAGGAGUUUCUUAUACUGGUGGAUUGGUUCCCAGCGCCUACAGUCAGAUAAAUAAAAAGUUGCAGCAGGGGGACCAACUAGUAGGGAGUACAUUUCAUCGGUUGGAGAGAGGAAAUUUAUUUCUUCAAUUACUUUAGAACAUCUGCAUGUUACAAAGAGGAAUGUGCAUUAACACAAUUAACCAUUUCUUUUUUUUAAUUGAAUUCAUGGAUUCAUUCCUAAGUUUUCUAAUCAGUUUUGCUCUGGUGUCAUAAGUUAAGGGAGAAUCAAUACCAAACUAAUUUUCCUGCAUAAAGAGAUUACUUGGAUAAUAGAUUUUUUCCAGUGCUUUUGGAAAUAUUGAGUCUAAUAAAAUAACUCUAACAGAGAUACAAUUAUUCAUAUCAGUAAGUUGUUCAUCAGAAAUAUUUCACAAAGACUAGACCUGAAUCUAAAUUGGAGGCAAAAUCAUUCAAUUCAAUAGAGCAGUUGCACUUUUCUCAUAUAGUAAAAUGACCAGUUGCACCUAGUAAACAGUACAGCACAACCCCUAAGUGCAGGGGAUCUGGAGGCAAAACAUGAGGGUCAAAGCCUCACUGUACCACUUUCCAGCUGUGUAAUCUUGGGAAAGAUUCUUCAUCUGUAAAAUGAUGCUUAAAAGCUAUACCUGACUUUUAGGAUUGUUGUAAACAUUAAAUUUGUAAAUGAGAAUGAUCUUAUAACUGUACAUGUUAACCAUUGUUUAAACCUAUAUGAAUAAAAUUCUAGAUGAGUCA